GACGAACGCUGGCGGCGUGCCUAGUACAUGCAAGUCGAACGGUCUUUUCUAUGGAAGCUUGCUUCCACUGAGAAGAUAGUGGCGAACGGGUGAGUAACACGUGGGUAACCUGCCCAUAUGAGGGGGAUAACAUCCGGAAACGGGUGCUAAUACCGCAUAGUUUUCUUGGUCGCAUGAUCGAGAAAGGAAAGACGGCCUUUGUGCUGUCGCUUAUGGAUGGACCCGCGGCGUAUUAGUUAGUUGGUGAGGUAACGGCUCACCAAGACGAUGAUACGUAGCCGACCUGAGAGGGUGAUCGGCCACAUUGGGACUGAGACACGGCCCAAACUCCUACGGGAGGCAGCAGUAGGGAAUCUUCCGCAAUGGACGAAAGUCUGACGGAGCAACGCCGCGUGAGUGAAGAAGGUUUUCGGAUCGUAAAACUCUGUUGUCAGAGAAGAACAAGUCGGAGAGUAACUGCUCCGGCCUUGACGGUAUCUGACCAGAAAGCCACGGCUAACUACGUGCCAGCAGCCGCCGCAGUAA
rnacentral:rRNA from 1 species